rnacentral:rRNA from 1 species
AGAGUUUGAUCAUGGCUCAGAUUGAACGCUGGCGGCAGGCCUAACACAUGCAAGUCGAGCGGUAGCACAGGGAGCUUGCUCCUGGGUGACGAGCGGCGGACGGGUGAGUAAUGUCUGGGAAACUGCCUGAUGGAGGGGGAUAACUACUGGAAACGACUGCUAAUACCGCAUACGCCCUACGGGGGAAAGGAGGGGACCUUUGGGCCUUUCGCGAUUGGAUGAACCCAGGUGGGAUUAGCUAGUUGGUGGGGUAAUGGCUCACCAAGGCGACGAUCCCUAGCUGGUCUGAGAGGAUGAUCAGCCACACUGGAACUGAGACACGGUCCAGACUCCUACGGGAGGCAGCAGUGCGAAUAUUGCACAAUGGGGGAAACCCUGAUGCAGCCAUGCCGCGUGUGUGAAGAAGGCCUUCGGGUUGUAAAGCACUUUCAGCGAGGAGGAAAGGUUGAUGCCUAAUACGUAUCAACUGUGACGUUACUCGCAGAAGAAGCACCGGCUAA